ACCGUUAAACUCUGUGUUUUGUGGUUGAGUCAUUAGGGCUUCAUUGUUAUUGUUCUUCCACAUCGCCGUUUCCACCUUCUCUAAAUCUCCGUUACUCAGAAUCGUUGAUUCUGCUCUUUACACCUUCAUUCAAACUGACAUCUCCUCGGUCCAGCCGACUCAGAACUAAGCUUUGAGCUUCUCCUUACUGGACGAACAUGCAUCAUAUCUUUUUAACUUCUUCUUCCAUGAUUCAACUCAAUCUCUGUAAAAUUCUUGGCACUAAAAAAAAUUUCCAACGCAGCAAUGGCGACACACAACUCGAAAUCUACUGCGUCAAUACCACAACUUGAAAGCCGGUUGGUUAUCAGACUCUACCUUAAUACUCAUUGAGGAAAAGUAUCUAGAACAUGUGAUCAAGUCAAUCUUUCCAAUCGUCCAUAUGAUUAUUAACAAAAAAAAAUAUUAGAGCUGGAAUAUAAACUUAGUCGUCUUCGAAAGCCUCUGAAACUGAGGGGAAAUUAUGGCUUUUCGAUCAAAUAUUUCAAAGAAGCAUGUCCAUGGAGUGUAUGUUCAUGCGACCUUGAUGGAUCUGUCACCAGUCUGUCAAUGAGACGGUGGGAUUGAGCCCAUACCAAGCUCUGAGUGAGGAGAUAUCAAACACAGCCAUAGAGUCCGUGAAAAAAAAAGUGGGAGGAAACUCUCCACAGCUCUGAGAAUCCCAAGUGUUGUGCUCGGUUGUGGUCGGUGUGGUUCGGACCCGGAAGAGAGAUUUAGGUUGAUUAAGAAUGAAUAGAUGUUUUCUUAUUGGAAGCUAUAUGUUGGUGCUCAGAAAGUAAAAAUGAGAUUCGGGGGACAACUCCACUUUGGAUGCAAAAUUUUCAUGUUGAUUUUUGUCAUGUUCGUCUUUUCACGGACCAUAGGCAGGAAGAGGAGGAGCGUUUUGUGAGGGAGCUAUUGAGGUAGAGAGGAAACUCAAAGAAGAGGUACUGGAGAGAGCAGAGUGUGAAGGUGGAUAGAGAGAAGCUGCUAGAGUGUAUGAGUUAGACAAGAGAAGACACUUGCUGUCUGAAUCUCACCAAUCAAACAUCUGCUUUUAUUUUUUGAAUAAGAAGAAGAAGAAGCGGGCU